GUUGACCAGGAUGGUCUCGAUCUCUUGACCUCGUGAUCCACCCGCCUCGGCCUCCCAAAGUGCUGGGAUUACAGGCGUGAGCCACCGCGCCCGGCUUUUUCACCUAUUUUAUGACAUGAAAUAUUAAUUAGCCAUAAGUCUUUUUUUUUCCAUCUGUAUAUAUAUAUUUUUUUGUCAGUGAGUAGAAUAAUGUUCCCCUUAUUUAAAACAUCUUUUCCUCUAACAGGAGAACCUAUUAAGUCUUGUGGUUUGAUCACUCACUGGUUUUGAGAAUAGAUGAGUCAUCUCUAGAGCUUCAUGGUAGGCCAUUCACCUUCAGUCUGUUACUCAUAGUAAAAAAAACUCCACUGAGUUUAAAACCCAUGAAUCUGCUUACUUUUUAUAAUCUCAAUAUUCAACAUUUGCUCACUAUUUUAUCUCUAUUUGUUGGCCCGGUUUUUCUGUAUUUACUUUGCCCAAACUGCACAUUAUGAAGAUGAAUAUUUGAAUGUAGAUUCUUUUUGAGCCCCUCAAGGGCAUAUUGACAUGGAUUUAGUUAAUUCUAGUCAUUGAUGUUGAAGAAUUGUGAAAACACUCACUGGUAGAGGUGAUUCUGUGGAGGCUAUCCCAUCCCAGUGGAAUGUUAAUGCUUUACCAAAAUGUGUUAGAUGCAAUAGACAGAUGUUUCUGUCUUGGGGGUUUAGGGCACAACAUUUCUGAGGAACUCUGACUCAAUCUGUCCCUUCUCCUUUCACAGGGCAGCAAGGCGAACCCCAUCCCUACUCACUGGAGCUCAGCUUUGAUUUUUAACCUCCCUUCCCCACCCUUCCAGAACACACACAUUCCCAUUCCAAAACUGAUUUUAUAAAGACAUUUUAAACAUAAUGAUGCAACUUGGUGUGCACUACGCGGCAAAUGUACAGGUGUUUUUUUUUUAAUUGUUUCCAAGACCGGGACCUGGAUUUAAGAUUGAGAUUUUUUUGAUCUUCAGCUACAGUAAGUUAUUCCAAUUUUUUUUUAACAUUUUUCCUGACUUUCCGCUGAUUUCCUUUUUAUUGUUGUUACUAGUUACUAUUACUUAUUAUUAUAUUAAUACUUAUGAUGGUGAUGAUGAUGAUGAUAAUGACACUGAUGAUUUUUAACCGGAUUAAAAUCGAGUUUUUCUGAAUGUUUCUAAGAAUUUCUCCGGCCUCCUGAUUGACUUUGGAGUUUUGCAUCUUGGGAGAGAAAGCGAAGGCAUUAGUAUUUUUAAGUGGAUUGAUCACAUAAACCUUUUCUCUCCCAACCCCACCCUUGCCCUCAUCCCCUUCCCCACACUGAAAGAAUUUUACUGGCUGUUAAGUCUAUGACCUUAUUUUUCCUGAUCUUUAACUUAACUGUUUUAGAGCAUCUCUGGACGUCUGUAUUUUUAAUUUUUUUUAUUUUUGUUUUUUUAUUUUUAAUCUUUCAUUUGUUAAAUUUUUAAACUGUGCUGCAAUAAAAUGUGUGUGGUACUACUUAACAC